rnacentral:rRNA from 1 species
GACGAACGCUGGCGGCGUGCUUAACACAUGCAAGUCGAACGGAAAGGCCCCCUUGUGGGGUACUCGAGUGGCGAACGGGUGAGUAACACGUGAGUAACCUACCCUUGACUUUGGGAUAACUUCAGGAAACUGGGGCUAAUACCGGAUCGGAGCUCCUGCUGCAUGGUGGGGGUUGGGAGGUUUCGGCGGUUGGGGAUGGACUGGCGGCUUAUCAGCUUGUUGGUGGGGUAGUGGCUCACCAAGGCUUUGACGGGUAGCCGGCCUGAGAGGGGGACCGGCCACAUUGGGACUGAGAUACGGCACAGACUCGUACGGGAGGCAGCAGUGGAGAAUAGUGCACAAUGGGCGGAAGCCUGAUGCAGCAACGCCGCGUGCGGGAUGACGGCCUUCGGGUUGGAAACCGCUUUCGCCUGUGACGAAGCGUGAGUGACGGUAAUGGGUAAAGAAGCACCGGCUAACUACGUG